GACGAACGCUGGCGGCGUGCUUAACACAUGCAAGUCGAACGGAAAGGCCCUGCUUUUGUGGGGUGCUCGAGUGGCGAACGGGUGAGUAACACGUGAGUAACCUGCCCUUGACUUUGUGAUAACUUCAGGAAACUGGGGCUAAUACCGGAUAGGAGCUCCUGCUGCAUGUGGGGGGUUGGAAAGUUUCGGCGGUUGGGGAUGGACUCGCGGCUUAUCAGCUUGUUGGUGGGGUAGUGGCUUACCAAGGCUUUGACGGGUAGCCGGCCUGAGAGGGUGACCGGCGACAUUGGGACUGAGAUACGGACCAGACUGCUACGGGCGGCAGCAGUGGGGAAUAUUGCACAAUGGGCGGAAGCCUGAUGCAGCAACGCCGCGUGCGGGAUGCCGGCCUUCGGGUUGUAAACCGCUUUCGAAUGUGACGAAGCGUGCGUGACGGUAAUGGGUAAAGAAGCCCCGGCUAACUACGUG
rnacentral:rRNA from 1 species